rnacentral:rRNA from 1 species
GAGUUUGAUCCUGGCUCAGGACGAACGCUGGCGGCGUGCUUAACACAUGCAAGUCGAACGAGGCAGCGGCCUUCGGGCCGGUGUCGAGUGGCGAACGGGUGAGUAACACGUGAGGAACCUGCCCCGGAGACCGGGAUAACCAGGGGAAACUCUGGCUAAUACCGGAUGCCCCCGGAUGGUCGCAUGGCCAACCGAGGAAACGCUCCGGUGCUCCGGGAGGGCCUCGCGGCCUAUCAGCUUGUUGGUGGGGUAACGGCCCACCAAGGCAUCGACGGGUAGCUGGUCUGAGAGGACGAUCAGCCACACUGGGACUGAGACACGGCCCAGACUCCUACGGGAGGCAGCAGUGGGGAAUAUUGCGCAAUGGGCGAAAGCCUGACGCAGCAACGCCGCGUGGGGGAUGACGGCCUUCGGGUUGUAAACCCCUUUCAGCAGGGACGAAAAUGACGGUACCUGCAGAAGAAGCCCCGGCCAACUACGUGCCAGCAGCCGCGGUAAUAC